rnacentral:rRNA from 1 species
AGAGUUUGAUCAUGGCUCAGAUUGAACGCUGGCGGCAGGCCUAACACAUGCAAGUCGAACGGUAACAGGAAGCAGCUUGCUGCUUUGCUGACGAGUGGCGGACGGGUGAGUAAUGUCUGGGAAACUGCCUGAUGGAGGGGGAUAACUACUGGAAACGGUGGCUAAUACCGCAUAACGUCGCAAGACCAAAGAGGGGGACCUUCGGGCCUCUUGCCAUCAGAUGUGCCCAGAUGGGAUUAGCUUGUUGGUGAGGUAACGGCUCACCAAGGCGACGAUCCCUAGCUGGUCUGAGAGGAUGACCAGCCACACUGGAACUGAGACACGGUCCAGACUCCUACGGGAGGCAGCAGUGGGGAAUAUUGCACAAUGGGCGCAAGCCUGAUGCAGCCAUGCCGCGUGUAUGAAGAAGGCCUUCGGGUUGUAAAGUACUUUCAGCGGGGAGGAAGGUGUUGUGGUUAAUAACCGCAGCAAUUGACGUUACCCGCAGAAGAAGCACCGGCUAACUCCGUGCCAGCAGCCGCGGUAAUACGGAGGGUGCAAGCGUUAAUCGGAAUUACUGGGCGUAAAGCGCACGCAGGCGGUCUGUCAAGUCGGAUGUGAAAUCCCCGGGCUCAACCUGGGAACUGCAUUCGAAACUGGCAGGCUUGAGUCUUGUAGAGGGGGGUAGAAUUCCAGGUGUAGCGGUGAAAUGCGUAGAGAUCUGGAGGAAUACCGGUGGCGAAGGCGGCCCCCUGGACAAAGACUGACGCUCAGGUGCGAAAGCGUGGGGAGCAAACAGGAUUAGAUACCCUGGUAGUCCACGCCGUAAACGAUGUCUACUUGGAGGUUGUGCCCUUGAGGCGUGGCUUCCGGAGCUAACGCGUUAAGUAGACCGCCUGGGGAGUACGGCCGCAAGGUUAAAACUCAAAUGAAUUGACGGGGGCCCGCACAAGCGGUGGAGCAUGUGGUUUAAUUCGAUGCAACGCGAAGAACCUUACCUGGUCUUGACAUCCACAGAAGAAUCCAGAGAUGGAUUUGUGCCUUCGGGAACUGUGAGACAGGUGCUGCAUGGCUGUCGUCAGCUCGUGUUGUGAAAUGUUGGGUUAAGUCCCGCAACGAGCGCAACCCUUAUCCUUUGUUGCCAGCG